rnacentral:rRNA from 1 species
CGGUAAUACGUAGGGCGCAAGCGUUGUCCGGAAUUAUUGGGCGUAAAGAGCUCGUAGGCGGUUUGUCGCGUCUGCUGUGAAAGCCCGGGGCUUAACCCCGGGUGUGCAGUGGGUACGGGCAGACUUGAGUGCAGUAGGGGAGACUGGAACUCCUGGUGUAGCGGUGAAAUGCGCAGAUAUCAGGAAGAACACCGAUGGCGAAGGCAGGUCUCUGGGCUGUUACUGACGCUGAGGAGCGAAAGCAUGGGGAGCGAACAGGAUUAGAUACCCUGGUAGUCCAUGCCGUAAACGUUGGGCACUAGGUGUGGGGGACAUUCCACGUUUUCCGCGCCGUAGCUAACGCAUUAAGUGCCCCGCCUGGGGAGUACGGCCGCAAGGCUAAAACUCAAAGGAAUUGACGGGGGCCCGCACAAGCGGCGGAGCAUGCGGAUUAAUUCGAUGCAACGCGAAGAACCUUACCAAGGCUUGACAUACACCGGAUCGGCUCAGAGAUGGGUUUUCCUCCUUGUGGGGCUGGUGUACAGGUGGUGCAUGGUUGUCGUCAGCUCGUGUCGUGAGAUGUUGGGUUAAGUCCCGCAACGAGCGCAACCCUCGUUCUAUGUUGCCAGCACGUGAUGGUGGGGACUCAUAGGAGACUGCCGGGGUCAACUCGGAGGAAGGUGGGGAUGACGUCAAAUCAUCAUGCCCCUUAUGUCUUGGGCUUCACGCAUGCUACAAUGGCCAGUACAAUGGGUUGCGAUACCGUGAGGUGGAGCUAAUCCCAAAAAGCUGGUCUCAGUUCGGAUCGUGGUCUGCAACUCGACCACGUGAAGUCGGAGUCGCUAGUAAUCGCAGAUCAGCAACGCUGCGGUGAAUACGUUCCCGGG